rnacentral:rRNA from 1 species
UGGGGAAUAUUGCACAAUGGGGGGAACCCUGAUGCAGCAAUGCCGCGUGAGUGAAGAAGUAUUUCGGUAUGUAAAGCUCUAUCAGCAGGGAAGAAAAUGACGGUACCUGACUAAGAAGCCCCGGCUAACUACGUGCCAGCAGCCGCGGUAAUACGUAGGGGGCAAGCGUUAUCCGGAUUUACUGGGUGUAAAGGGGGCGCAGGCGGCAUGGCAAGUCAGAUGUGAAAACCCGAGGCUCAACUUCGGGAUUGCAUUUGAAACUGCCAAGCUGGAGUGCCGGAGAGGCAAGUGGAAUUCCUAGUGUAGCGGUGAAAUGCGUAGAUAUUAGGAGGAACACCAGUGGCGAAGGCGGCUUGCUGGACGGUAACUGACGCUGAGGCCCGAAAGCGUGGGGAGCAAACAGG